rnacentral:rRNA from 1 species
UACGUAGGGUGCGAGCGUUAAUCGGAAUUACUGGGCGUAAAGCGUGCGCAGGCGGUGAUGUAAGACAGAUGUGAAAUCCCGGGCUCAACCUGGGAACUGCAUUUGGUGACUGCAUCGCUGGAGUACGGCAGAGGGGGAUGGAAUUCCGCGUGUAGCAGUGAAAUGCGUAGAUAUGCGGAGGAACACCGAUGGCGAAGGCAGCCCCCUGGGCUAACACUGACGCUCAGGCACGAAAGCGUGGGGAGCAAACAGG